rnacentral:sRNA from 1 species
AGAAAACAAUAUGGCCGCUCCCAGCUGGGACGUGAGUCUCUGGAUUAGGCAGGCAGAGGCAAUUAUGGGCUUCUGCAGUGGCGAGAAAGGAAGCGCCUGAAGGGUCGUGAGGCUGGGGCUGGACCCGGCACCGCUGGGGCGGCCAGGCUUUGAGGACGCCAAUGGCGAGCAGCGUGGACGAGGAGGCGCUGCACCAGCUGUACCUGUGGGUAGACAACAUCCCUCUGUCCCGGCCCAAGCGAAACCUCUCCCGGGACUUUAGUGAUGGAGUCCUUGUUGCAGAGGUCAUCAAGUUUUACUUCCCCAAGAUGGUGGAGAUGCACAAUUAUGUCCCCGCCAACUCUCUCCAGCAGAAGCUCAGCAACUGGGGUCAUCUGAACAGGAAGGUACUGAAGAGGCUGAACUUUUCAGUACCGGAUGACGUGAUGCGCAAGAUCGCGCAGUGCUCCCCAGGCGUGGUGGAGCUGGUGCUCAUCCCUCUGAGGCAGCGCCUGGAGGAGAGGCAGAGGCGCAGGAAGCAGGGCGCCAGCUCCUUACAGGAGCUGGCUCCCCAGGAUGGCAGUGGCUACAUGGAUGUGGGUAAGGUGGCCUUUUCCAUUUCUCCCUCCCGGUUGGAGCUUUCCUUCUGUCCUUCUUCCUGUCGCUUGUGAGAGUGGAAGUAGGGAGGGGGAAGCAGGAGAAUGAGACUCCAGCACAGUCAUUCCUCCGCUUGCCUUGUCUCAGGUGUAUCCCAGAAGGCCCGAGGUGAAGGUGUCCCGGACCCCCAGGGAGGGGGUCAGCUCAGCUGGGACCGGCCGCCGGCGCCUCGGCCUCCAGCGUAUAACCGGGCGUUGCAGGGCGACCCAAGCUUCGUCCUCCAGAUCGCUGAAAAGGAGCAGGAGCUGUUGGCCUCUCAAGAGACCGUGCAGGUCCUGCAGAUGAAGGUAAGGCGCCUGGAGCACUUGCUCCAGCUCAAGAAUGUGCGGAUCGAAGACCUCUCCCGGCGGCUCCAGCAGGCGGAGCGUAAGCAGCGGUGAGCGGCGGCCCGGGCCGCGCGGGGACGCCCGGGUACCCGCCAGAGCCCCGACGCCGCGCCGGACCCACCCACCGAUGGAUAGACCAUUGGGAGGGCGGAGCCCGCUGCUCUCACGAGCCUCUUAGGGCCCGAGUGCCCUCCUUCCUUGGGAUGGGUGAGCGUGGGAGGAGAUGGGACAGGAACUCUAGGAGCGGAGGCCCGGGACUGAGCCGCCUCCUGCCACUCCGGAGAUCCGGGUCAGGAGAAUGGACCGCUUUCCAGAGCCCAGAAGCCACGUGCAGAGACCUAGCCUGCCCCCCAAAGCAGUGUCCAACACCUUGGGCCCGGCCUUGCAUCUCCCGGCGCUGGGCCUUGGGGGGCGGUCCCUUGGCUCUGUCCACACCCCCAGAAUCAGGUCCCCGCCCAGCUCCGAGGACGGCGGCGUCUCCAUGCAGGCUAGCUCCCCAUGCCCUCAGCCAUGGGGGAAUCUGUCCCGGGCCGCUGAGGGGCUCCCCUGCCCCUCCUGGGAGCUUACCUGGGACCCACCUCGGCGACGGAGACCGCAGCAGCUGGAGAGGAAGGGGUGAGGAGUGGGAUCGCCAGGAGUAGGGAGGACAUCGACGAUGUGCCUGUAGCAGUCGCCCCUCCCUCCUCGCGCACGGGGUACUGAGGGGGAAGGUUUGAAGGUUACGGCUCAGGGCUGCCCCAUUAAAGUUAGUGUUGUGUUCUA